rnacentral:lncRNA from 1 species
CCUCUACUUCUCUUCUUCUUCUCCCCACGCCCCACCGCCUCUCUCUGUUUCUCGAAAGAAACAGAGAGAGCGUGGGAGGCGGUGGGAUAAAACCGAAUUUUCGGUUUUCUUUAUUUUCUUCUUUUUACAACUUAACAGUUUAGUCCUUGAAAUUUCCAUAUUUACAUAUAGGUCCUCUGAUUUAUAAAUAAAUCUUUAUUAAUAAUUUUCAAAAGCGAGGGAUAUUACAC